AGAUGUUCUCUUGCUGUUGUCUACUUCAGAACUGCCUUGAGAGUAAAUGAGAAGGACAACAGUGUUCAGUCAACUAUGGGCAUCUCGUACAAGCCACGAUUACAUCACUGAGGACAUGAUGUCAUUAUACAGGUGAAAUGCCUGAGGAGAAAAAGAAAGCAUUCCACUCAUCUGCAUCUCGUCUGGCCUUAUCCUGAGGCUGUAGAGAAAUUCAUUUCUGCAACAGGAGAGCAUAAGAAGAGCUUCUGGGGGAAAGAAAUCUGACUGAUAUUUAAGCGCUACCGAGAUAUGAAAUAAUCCGAUCAUAAUGUUUCCAUGAAUAAUAGUUCCAGAUAUUUCCCUGCCUGGAAGAUGGGACACCUGCAAACUUUCCUAUUGUAGGCAGUGGGGUGAUUAUCACCCACAUUAUUGUCCUUUUUUGCGUGUGACUGCUUCCUUACAAAUAAAAACUGGUUUUUUUAAGCACAA